rnacentral:lncRNA from 1 species
GUAGAUUAUACAUUUUACCUCAGUAAAAUCCUCUUUAACCUGCCCAUUUCUUGCCAAACCAUCUAUAUAGCAUAAUGUGAUCUCAAUCGAUGGCUCAACAGCUAGAAACUUGAAGACUUUUACCAAGAAGAUAUUGAGCUAUCUAGUUUCUCCAGCUUGAGAACAAGCGACCAUUGCAUUCCAAUACGUCGCAUGAGUCUUCACCAUCGUACUAGGCAUAUCCUCAAACACAUUUAAAGGUUUAGGUACAUUAUCAAACAUGGUGAGCUCUUGAGCGUGGGCUAAACUUAUUAUAAAGGCAUUCCAUACUCCCAAACCUGCCUUGUUGGAGUA